GUCACCAUCUCAUCAUCGUCGUUUCUUCUCUCGACUCUCACCAUCUCAACCAGAGACGAGAUCCCAAUCGCCUCACCAUCUCAUCUCUCGCCGCCUUAACGCCUCACCAUCUCAUCUCAGCGUCAUCACUCGUCAUCAUCAUUACUUUAGAGGGCAAACCAGAGACGAGAUCCCAAUCAUCUCAUCUCAUCUCAUCACGGUCACAAUCAGAUCAGCAAGCAUACCAUUUUGUAAGUAGAGCAACGAGUGUUUGAAGAGACUCAAGAGUCAAGAGACUUGGAGAACAACAAGUGUUGGCUGACUUGAGAGUUUGAGUAAAGUUCUAUUUAUUAAAGUAGCUACAAAGUUGUGCUCAAGAGUUAUACUUAUACUUUGCAUUUACAUUACAUGAAUGUUAACUUUGGUUUUUAAUUUCAGUGAAAGACAAAAAUGAAUAAAAGACACAUUUUGCAUUUACAUGAACAUGAUUAUACUUGCAGUUUUUAACAUUUAAAUUUAAGUUGAAUUUGAUAUGCAAAAAAUUAUUGACUUGUAAAAAAAUUAAAUGGGCUAACCCUGGUCUAACCCUAACCUUCGUCAAAAAGUAGGGUUAAAAUAGGGUUGGGUUAAAACAGGCCUCGGUUUAUAUUACACAAGGAAGGGCUUAACCCUAACCUUUUACACAACAUCCCUAGUUAUCUUACAGUUACGGUUCAAUGCACGUGAAGUCAUAUGAUUGGGUUGAGCCUGAUCCAUCAGAGCUAGACGAUCCAUUACAAGCAAGACCCGCAAAGCUGGUCAAAGAUAUGACGGCUCCUUGCCCAGCAACCACACUGUACAAUCUUCGGUAUCUUAUCUCCUUCGUACUCUCCUAUAUACUCAUGGAAGACACUGAAACUACUUCCGGAAAUCCCCAAUCCGUGACUUGCCUGGUGAGAUUGAAGUGAUGAAUGAAGUGAUAUCAAAUGUGACAUGGCUUGAAGAGUAUCAGCCUCCAGGUAACAUUGUGAUAUGGAAAGUUCCUUACAGAGGUCCUGUGAUUAGAAAAUGGGAUAUUAUAAAAAGACUUAAAAAGAGGGGAAAGAAGAAAAGCUUUAUCAUCUGGAGAGUAAAAUUUGGUGAACCAUUCAGAAGGCUUGCUUGCUUUGUGGUCAAAAAGUUCUCAGUGACCAGUUUCAUCCUAUUUCAUUAUAUGAUAAAUGUUAUA